AUACGGAGGGUGCAAGCGUUACUCGGAAUCACUGGGCGUAAAGCGCGCGCAGGCGGGCUGAUAAGUUGGAUGUGAAAACCUACGGCUCAACCGUAGAACUGCAUCCAAAACUGUCAGUCUAGAGUGUGGGAGAGGAAGAUGGAAUUAGUUGUGUAGGGGUAAAAUCCGUAGAGAUAACUAGGAAUACCAAAAGCGAAGGCAAUCUUCUGGAACACUACUGACGCUGAGGCGCGAAGGCGUGGGGAGCAAACAGGAUUAGAAACCCGAGUAGUCC
rnacentral:rRNA from 1 species